UUCUUCCAUUUAGCAUUGUAACAUGACUAUUGCUCCACGCCAUCAACAUUGAAUGUUGCUCCACGCUGUUAAAGAGACUUAAAAGCGUGCUGGAAAGGACGACAUGCGAGCCUGUUGUGUAACUGUGAACAAACAUUUGGUGGUGGUGCGGUAUCUACUAUCUGUGACACAGAGGGAGAAGACAUCACGUGUCCUGAGGCUCUCUCUUAUCACACUGGACUCAGCCACAUCUGAUCUCCUAGAAACCGUAGAUGAUGGCACGAGGCCAUCAUGCUGUUAGCGCCAGUAGUCUGUGGAGUGAGAGUGGGUUUUAGUUCUCCGGCAGAAAACAUCAACCAACAGGAUGCCAGUUAGCCUGUCUCCCAUGGUGCAUCCGGUAUCUUGGGAAGGGACAUUGUCACUGCCGCCACCACUGUUGCUGUCUUUAUCAUUUGGGCUGCUGAGCCGAGCCACAUGAACACCAUGAUUCAUGCUGUUGGUUGAACCUGGAGUGACCCAGAGAACAGUGCACCGGUCAGCACUUACACAGUACCUGAAGUCAUCCCUAGAGACGCCAUGAAAAAGGACAGAAAGGCAUUUUUCUUUAGAAAACAGUCUCACCAUCCCUAUUUUCAACGCCUCUCUCCUAAUAUUUACAUUUCAAGUACUGUUUCUAUUAAGCCGAUCUAAAUGCCAUCAUUUCUAAUAUUAUGACCUGUGACAAAUGA